GAAGAAUUGAGCUUACAAUAGUACACAAAAAGAGUUAGAAAGAUUUGCUUUUAUCAUGAUACAAUCUGAUCCAUACACUUCUCAUGAUCCUCUCUCUAAAAAAGAAUGACUUACAAUAGCAAACUAAAAGUUCGGAAUUUUGUCAGGAUAAAGACUUAAAUCAACUAGAGGAGAGCCAAGGAUUUGGUGCUACAUAAGUGUAACCUUGAAAGUGUUCGCCUGUUGUCGGAGUAGAUGCUGGUGAGUCAUCCGGUGGCAUCGUAGUCCAACAUUUAUCGAAAUUGGCUGUGCAAUCUCUGCCAAUUACAUCUGGUUUGAACUUAGGCUGUAGUUCUCUGGCAUCAAGUUUCUUCCAGUUGAUUGUGCGGAACCACUUGUGACUUUUGAUCUCAUCCCCUCCUCUUGGUCCACUGCCUAAUCUUUUGGAUGGGUCCUUCUGUAGCAAUCCUUUGAGCAGAGAGUGAGCUUCACCAGUCAGACGUGGUAGAAGUUUCAGUUUCUCGCUGAUGAUCUUCUCCUGAAGCUUCUUUCUAUUUGCAUGUGUGAAAGGUGGCUGACCAGUCAGCAUCUCAUACAGAAGUACCCCAACGCUCCACCAGUCAGCAUCUUUAUUGUGGCCCUUGGACUGUAUAAUCUCCGGAGCCAUGUAUUCCAUGGUUCCACACAUUGAAUUAGAUCUGCUUGAUUCAUCAAUCUCUUUUGCCAGUCCAAAAUCUGUCAGCAUGACAUGUCCAUCACCAUCCAUGAGAAUAUUUUCUGGUUUGAGGUCUCGAUGCACGAUCCCUCUCUGGUGAAGAUGUGAAACAGCAGAAACUAUCUCAGCAGCAUAAAUCCUUGCCUGGUCCUCACUGAAAAUCCCUUGUCUGUAUAAAUGAUAGAAAAGAUGUCCUCCAUUUAUAAAAUCCAAAAUCAAGUAAAGCUUAGACUUCGUCUGAAAUGAGUAUCUAAGCUGCACAAUAAAAGGGUGCUCAACUUUGGUGAGAAUAUCCCUCUCAGCUCUCAUAUAAUCCACAUGGUUAUUCUUGAUUACUGUGUCCUUCCUCAUCACUUUCAUGGCUAAUAUUCCAUCACCCUCACCCUCACCACCAUACCCCUUCAUCUUCACCUGAAAAACCUUCCCAAAAGAACCUUUUCCAAUCAUCCUCAAGAUCUCAAAAUCCCCUGGCCCAAAUUUUGUUACAGCUGACCCCUCAUCUCCACUAAUCUCUUCAAUCCCAUCAGAACAUUCAGUUUGGUGAGUACCUACAUGAGUAUUAACUUUAUCACUAUCACUUUCUCCCUGGGGGAGGCUUUGCCGAUGGAAACUCAGCCAUUACUUCAAUAAGACUUCUUUGACUUGCUACAAUCCAUUGAGAAUACUCAUCCUUGCCCUGAGGAGAUGCCAAGAACUUGAGCUUUUCUGCUUCACUAGGUUCAGCUGCAUGGGCAGCCAAUGCAACCAAAGUAGCCUUCCGCGGUGGAUUCAGAAGAUCUGCAUAACAAGCAAGUGCAGCACGUAGAGUGCAGGGACCAGGAAAAGGUGGGGGUAACGAGCCUCCUCCAGCUGUACCAUCCUCCUUGUCGGUAUGAAUAGAGAAUAUCAAGUCUAAUGACUGCCCCAGCAAUCUCGCAGCUUCCUCAACAGUAUCUUCAGAAUUUUCAGCAUAAACACCCACAUGAUCUCCUGUUUCAUAGGAAAUCCCAGUGCCAGAUAUAUCAAACUCCAAGUGUAUACAUGAGCGAUCAGACUCGGGUGUGUGAAGCUCUCUCUGAACAGCCACAUUGACUUUGCAUGGGUGGUGGAUAUCAUAUGUGGUAUUACCAUUAGCCAUGCCUGCAUGCUUAUCCUCAAGACUCAUAGUGGUAUCAUGGAUAACCAAACGAUAUUCAGGAAUUGCAGCUGUAUAUGGAGUGGCAGCAGAAUUUGCAUCAUCCUCGUCUCUAAGAAUUUGAUCCAAUUCUGGCCAGAGCUGUUCUCGCCAGGCAGAAAAAUCAUCUUCAAUGCACUGAUCAUCAUCACCAAGGCCAACA
rnacentral:misc_RNA from 1 species